AUACGGAGGGUGCAAGCGUUACUCGGAAUCACUGGGCGUAAAGCGCGCGCAGGCGGCUAUUUAAGUUGGAUGUGAAAGCCUACGGCUCAACCGUAGAACUGCAUCCAAAACUAUUUAGCUAGAGUGUGGGAGAGGAAGAUGGAAUUGGUUGUGUAGGGGUAAAAUCCGUAGAGAUAACUAGGAAUACCAAAAGCGAAGGCAAUCUUCUGGAACACUACUGACGCUGAGGCGCGAAAGCGUGGGGAGCAAACGGGAUUAGAAACCCUAGUAGUCC
rnacentral:rRNA from 1 species